UCAAAAAGACAUCUCAGUUCAGAUUGCAGGCUGCAACUCGCCUGCAUGAAGUCGGAAUUGCUAGUAAUCGUAGGUCAGCAUACUACGGUGAAUACGUUCCCGGGCCUUGUACACACCGCCCGUCAAACCAUGAGAGUUGGCAACACCCGAAGUCGGUAGUCUAACCGCAAGGAGGACGCCGCCGAAGGUGGGGUUGAUGAUUAGGGUUAAGUCGUAACAAGGUACC
rnacentral:rRNA from 1 species